CCUACGGGCGGCUGCAGUGGGGAAUAUUGGACAAUGGGGGCAACCCUGAUCCAGCGACGCCGCGUGUGUGAAGAAGGCCUGCGGGUUGUAAAGCACUUUUAGUGGGGAUGAAAAGUACAUCGCUAAUACCGGUGUAUCUUGACCUAACCCAAAGAAAAAGCACCGGCUAACUCUGUGCCAGCAGCCGCGGUAAUACAGAGGGUGCGAGCGUUAAUCGGAAUUACUGGGCGUAAAGAGCUCGUAGGCGGUUCGGUAAGUCAGGUGUGAAAACUCCAGGCUCAACUUGGAGACGCCACCUGAUACUGUCGUGACUAGAGUCCGGUAGGGGAGCAUGGAAUUCCUGGUGUAGCGGUGAAAUGCGCAGAUAUCAGGAGGAACACCAGCGGCGAAGGCGGUGCUCUGGGCCGGAACUGACGCUGAGGAGCGAAAGCGUGGGGAGCGAACAGGAUUAGAUACCCCAGUAGUC
rnacentral:misc_RNA from 1 species